GACGCACUCUCAGAGUUUGAUCCUGGCUCAGAGUGAACGCUGGCGGCGUGCCUAAUACAUGCAAGUCGAACGGAGAUUAAUUAAGCUUGCUUUUUUAAUCUUAGUGGCGCACGGGUGAGUAAGAUGUAGCUAAUCUGCCCUUUAGUGGGGGACAACAGUUGGAAACGACUGCUAAUACCCCAUACUCCGUCUUGACAUAUGUCAAGACGGGAAAGUCUUUUCGCUAAAGGAUGAGGCUACAGUGUAUCAGCUAGUUGGUAAGGUAAAAGCUUACCAAGGCUAUGACGCAUAACUGGUCUGAGAGGAUGAUCAGUCACAUUGGAACUGAGACACGGUCCAA
rnacentral:rRNA from 1 species